GGAAAUGCAAUGAAGGAGAAAAGUAAAAAAGUAAUGUAUCACAGAGAACAAAGCAUUGGUGAGAGCUUUGUAUGCUAGCUUUUUGAACCCGCUCUGGAGUAUAACGGCUUGACCACGUUAAGGUCUUUCUAAGUGAGUCUGAUGACUAAUUAGGGUGGUACCGCGGGUAAACUCUCGUCCCUUAU
rfam:Geosporobacter ferrireducens strain IRF9, complete genome.